CCUACGGGAGGCAGCAGUGAGGAAUAUUGGUCAAUGGACGCAAGUCUGAACCAGCCAUGCCGCGUGCAGGAAGACGGCUCUAUGAGUUGUAAACUGCUUUUGUACGAGGGUAAACGCAGAUACGUGUAUCUGUCUGAAAGUACCGUACGAAUAAGGAUCGGCUAACUCCGUGCCAGCAGCCGCGGUAAUACGGAGGAUUCAAGCGUUAUCCGGAUUUAUUGGGUUUAAAGGGUGCGUAGGCGGGUGGAUAAGUUAGAGGUGAAAUCUCGAGGCUCAACUUCGGAAUUGCCUCUGAUACUGUUCGUCUAGAGAGUAGUUGCGGUAGGCGGAAUGUAUGGUGUAGCGGUGAAAUGCUUAGAGAUCAUACAGAACACCGAUUGCGAAGGCAGCUUACCAAGCUACUUCUGACGUUGAGGCACGAAAGCGUGGGGAGCAAACAGGAUUAGAUACCCGGGUAGUC
rnacentral:rRNA from 1 species